CCUACGGGUGGCAGCAGUGGGGAAUAUUGCACAAUGGUGGAAACCCUGAUGCAGCGAAGCCGCGUGAGUGAAGAAGUAAUUCGUUAUGUAAAGCUCUAUCAGCAGGGAAGAAAAUGACGGUACCUGAGUCAGACGCCCCGGCUAACUACGUUCCGGCAGCCGCGGUACUACGUAGGGGGCAAGCGUUAUCCGGAUUUACUGGGUGUAAAGGGAGCGUAGACGGCAGUGCAAGUCUGGAGUGAAAGGCGGGGGCUCAACCCCCGGACUGCUCUGGAAACUGUACGGCUGGAGUGCAGGAGAGGUAAGUGGAAUUCCUAGUGUAGCGGUGAAAUGCGUAGAUAUUAGGAGGAACACCAGUGGCGAAGGCGGCUUACUGGACUGUAACUGACGUUGAGGCUCGAAAGCGUGGGGAGCAAACAGGAUUAGAUACCCGAGUAGUC
rnacentral:rRNA from 1 species